GCCAGCCCGCUCAGAAACUUAAAGGAAUUGACGGGGCCCGCACAAGCGGUGAGUAUGUGGUUUAAUUCGAUGCAACGCGAAGAACCUUACCUGGUCUUGACAUCCCGGAGACCCUUAGGAAACUAGGGGGUGCUUCCAUCUGGAAGAAUCUGGAGACAGGUGCUGCAUGGCUGUCGUCAGCUCGUGUCGUGAGAUGUUGGGUUAAGUCCCGCAACGAGCGCAACCCUUGCCUUUAGUUGCCAGCAGUUCGGCUGGGCACUCUAAAGGGACUGCCGGUGUUAAACCGGAGGAAGGUGGGGAUGACGUCAAGUCCUCAUGGCCUUUAUGACCAGGGCUACACACGUACUACAAUGGCCGAUACAAAGGGCAGCGACACUGCGAGGUGAAGCCAAUCCCGUAAAAUCGGUCUCAGUCCGGAUUGGAGUCUGCAACUCGACUCCAUGAAGUUGGAAUCGCUAGUAAUCGUGGAUCAGCAUGCCACGGUGAAUACGUUCCCGGGCCUU
rnacentral:rRNA from 1 species